UGGGGCGUAGCUCAACUUGGUGGAGCAGCGGGCUCUGAACCCGAAGGUCGAAGGUUCGAUUCCUUCCGCCCCAGCCA
rnacentral:tRNA from 1 species